UACGAGGGGGGCAAGCGUUGUUCGGAAUUAUUGGGCGUAAAGGGUGCGUAGGCGGUUUGGUAAGUCUUAUGUGAAAUCUACAGGCUCAACUUGUAGUCUGCAUGAGAAACUACCUCGCUAGAGUCCGGAAGAGGAGAGCGGAAUUCCUGGUGUAGCGGUGGAAUGCGCAGAUAUCAGGAGGAACACCCGUGGCGAAGGCGGCUCUCUGGGACGGUACUGACACUGAGACGCGAAAGCGUGGGGAGCGAACAGG
rnacentral:rRNA from 1 species